ensembl:ncRNA ZK270.5 ncRNA
AUACAAGAACAAGAAGGUGGCGCAGACGUUUGCAGAAGAAGGACAACCGAUUUCAAUGCUAUUAAGCUAAGCUUCUAUACUUUUCUGUACGACAUUGUUGUGUGCUUUCAAGGACGGUGUGUGAAGGCGC